rnacentral:rRNA from 2 species
AGACCCGAAACCCGGUGAUCUAGCCAUGGGCAGGUUGAAGGUUGGGUAACACUAACUGGAGGACCGAACCGACUAAUGUUGAAAAAUUAGCGGAUGACCUGUGGCUGGGGGUGAAAGGCCAAUCAAACCGGGAGAUAGCUGGUUCUCCCCGAAAGCUAUUUAGGUAGCGCCUCGUGAAUUCAUCUCCGGGGGUAGAGCACUGUUUCGGCUAGGGGGCCAUCCCGGCUUACCAACCCGAUGCAAACUGCGAAUACCGGAGAAUGUUAUCACGGGAGACACACGGCGGGUGCUAACGUCCGUCGUGAAGAGGGAAACAACCCAGACCGCCAGCUAAGGUCCCAAAGUCAUGGUUAAGUGGGAAACGAUGUGGGAAGGCCCAGACAGCCAGGAUGUUGGCUUAGAAGCAGCCAUCAUUUAAAGAAAGCGUAAUAGCUCACUGGUCGAGUCGGCCUGCGCGGAAGAUGUAACGGGGCUAAACCAUGCACCGAAGCUGCGGCAGCGACACUGUGUGUUGUUGGGUAGGGGAGCGUUCUGUAAGCCUGCGAAGGUGGCCUGUG